rnacentral:rRNA from 1 species
GUGUUGAAAGCUUGCUGGAUAUACAACUUAGUGGCGGACGGGUGAGUAACACGUGAGUAACCUGCCUUUCAGAGUGGAAUAACGUUUGGAAACGAACGCUAAUACCGCAUAACAUAGUUUCCGGGCAUCCGGAGACUAUCAAAGAUUUUAUCGCUGAGAGAUGGGCUCGCGGCCGAUUAGGUAGUUGGUGAGAUAACAGCCCACCAAGCCGACGAUCGGUAGCCGGACUGAGAGGUUGAACGGCCACAUUGGGACUGAGACACGGCCCAGACUCCUACGGGAGGCAGCAGUGGGGGAUAUUGCACAAUGGAGGAAACUCUGAUGCAGCGACGCCGCGUGAGGGAAGACGGUCUUCGGAUUGUAAACCUCUGUCUUUAGGGACGAAAAAAUGACGGUACCUAAGGAGGAAGCCACGGCUAACUACGUGCCAGCAGCCGCGGUAAUACGUAGGUGGCAAGCGUUGUCCGGAAUUACUGGGUGUAAAGGGAGCGUAGGCGGGGAGACAAGUUGAAUGUUUAAACUAUCGGCUCAACUGAUAGUCGCGUUCAAAACUAUCACUCUUGAGUGCAG